CUGCCAACGAGGCGAAGAAAUAACGUUCGCUACUACACAGGUUUAAAAAACCACUUUUCGAGUAGGCGAGAUCUUUAGUCUCGAUUUUUGUUGAAACUGAAAUCAUUUAUUUAUUUUGUACACAUUGUUGAUAAGGAGGGUGUGCCACAAAGGUCUUUCGUGUGUUGUCUUUUGUAUCGUUUUAGAAAUAUUGGAAAUUUUGUUAUUGUAUGGUUUUAAAUAACGUGAAGACGAGGUAACCGUACAUUCCAUUUGUUGGACAGUGUCGAAGACAGUCAUUCUUAUUGCGUUUUGUAGUAAAGAAUUUGUUUAUAUAAAUGGCAAGAAAGACAUAAGGAAGAGAAUUCAACCAAAGGUUUUGUGAAGAUCAGCUAGCUAUUAUUAAAGAAAGAAGAAAAAUACGGACAGACAAACUAUCGUACAGCGUUUAAUAAUUGUGUUAUGUAUGAAAGACAUGGAACAUUGUUCAGAUCCUAUCGCGAGCUUGUAAGAAAUAGUACGAAGUUGUUAUUGGUAAAAAAGCGGCAUAAAAGGCGACUUCGCAAAAGAUACAACCUUAAUGGCGUGAUCUCGUACAUCUUUCUUGGCUAACGCAAUGGCCUCCUCACAAAGAAAAAUUUGUGUGAUUUCAUUUGUAAUAGGAGAGCUACCAGCAUUGGCAUAAACUGCUGCAGACGCCUUCCAUAUUUUCAUCUGACGUGAGCCUAUUGAUACGAAUCAUCGCUUAGUAAAGUUCUUUCCAUGAGUUUCAAUAAAAAUCAAUUUCAUCACUUUUCAUAAAUAUGAAUAAU